CCAGAAUUUAUAGGAAAGAAUGAUACUUUCGCAUGAAAUUAUGGAAAAGAAUAGACAAAACAGCAAUAUUUUUUGCUAGUUUAAUGAGGGGCAAGUAACAGUUAAGAUAUCGGAAUCAGUCAUAUUUCCAUUAGAAAAAAACUCCUCACUUCACACAAUUUAUUAAAAUGUUUGGGACCGCGGUGAUCGAAUGUAUGAGAUCGUUCAUCUAAAAUGAUCACUUGUCUGUCAGUGGUUGUGUUCGAAGCCCG
rnacentral:lncRNA from 1 species